AAGUCGUAACAAGGUUUCCGUAGGUGAACCUGCGGAAGGAUCAUUACUGAGUUAGGGUCUUUCUGGCCCGACCUCCAACCCUUUGUUUACUAUACCCAUGUUGCUUUGGCGGGCCUGCCUUUCGGGGCUGCCGGGGGCAUCACUGCCUUCGAUCUGUGCCUGCCAGGAGCCUUUUUUAAAUUCUGUGUUCAACUGUGUUGUCUGAGUCCCAAUAUCAAAAUAUAAAAAACUUUCAACAACGGAUCUCUUGGUUCUG
rnacentral:misc_RNA from 1 species